UACGGGGGGGGCAAGCGUUGUUCGGAAUUACUGGGCGUAAAGGGCCAGUAGGCGGCCAACUAAGUCCGACGUGAAAUCCCAAGGCUUAACCUUGGAACUGCGUCGGAUACUGGAUGGCUUGAAUUCGGGAGAGGGAUGCAGAAUUCCAGGUGUAGCGGUGAAAUGCGUAGAUAUCUGGAGGAGUACCGGUGGCGAAGGCGGCAUCCUGGACCGACAUUGACGCUGAACGGCGAAAGCUAGGGGAGCAAACGGG
rnacentral:rRNA from 1 species